AGUGAACGCUGGCGGCGUGCUUAACACAUGCAAGUCGAACGGAGUUGUUUCGCUGAUGAGACUUCGGUCAAAUCUUGAAGCAACUUAGUGGCGGACGGGUGAGUAACGCGUGGGUAACCUGCCAUAUACAGGGGGAUAACACUUAGAAAUAGGUGCUAAUACCGCAUAAGCGCACGGAGCUGCAUGGCUCAGUGUGAAAAACUCCGGUGGUAUAUGAUGGACCCGCGUCUGAUUAGCUAGUUGGUAAGGUAACGGCUUACCAAGGCGACGAUCAGUAGCCGGCCUGAGAGGGUGAACGGCCACAUUGGAACUGAGACACGGUCCAAACUCCUACGGGAGGCAGCAGUGGGGGAUAUUGGACAAUGGGGGAAACCCUGAUCCAGCGACGCCGCGUGAGUGAAGAAGUAUUUCGGUAUGUAAAGCUCUAUCAGCAAGGAAGAAAAUGACGGUACUUGACUAAGAAGCCCCGGCUAACUACGUG
rnacentral:rRNA from 1 species